rnacentral:lncRNA from 1 species
AUUGAAAAUUAAAAUAUUUUACUUUUUAAAUAAAUUAUUUAUUUAAAUAGAAUGUUUAAAGAGUGAUCUGUGACACUGUUUAGCAAAACCAUUUAUUUAUUAUACUGUUAUAAUUAUGCACUGACAUUGUUGUUGGCUUUGUCAAUUGUCAUAUCUUCUAUGAGCAAACAAAGGUGAGAAUUCUUGCAAAAAUUGAAAAGUUAACGUCUUGGUGAAACAUAAAUCAAAUUUUAAAAUAA